rnacentral:rRNA from 1 species
AAUGAACGCUGGCGGCAUGCCUAACACAUGCAAGUCGAACGAAGGCUUCGGCCUUAGUGGCGCACGGGUGCGUAACGCGUGGGAAUCUGCCCUUGGGUUCGGAAUAACUCGGAGAAAUCCGUGCUAAUACCGGAUGAUGACGUAAGUCCAAAGAUUUAUCGCCCGAGGAUGAGCCCGCGUAGGAUUAGCUAGUUGGUGGGGUAAAGGCUCACCAAGGCGACGCUCCUUAGCUGGUCUGAGAGGAUGAUCAGCCACACUGGGACUGAGACACGGCCCAGACUCCUACGGGAGGCAGCAAGGGGGAAUAUAAGACAAUGGGCUAAAGCCUGAUCCAGCAAUGCCGCGUGAGUGAUGAAGGCCUUAGGGUUGUAAAGCUCUUUUACCCGGGAUGAUAAUGACAGUACCUGCAGAAAAAGCACCGGCUAACUACGUGCCAGCCGCCGCCGUAACAC